UGUUGCGACUGUUAUGAAUCGUAAUGUAAAUAUCUGAUAUGCAGAAUGGUCUUAGGCAACCCCUGUGAAAGGGUCGUUCGCCCGCCAAAGGGGUCGCGACCCACAGGUUGAGAACCGCUGGUAGGGGCAUUGUUCCUUAUGCUUAGAUUUUGUAAGACAUUUCCCCCACAUCCUACCUUCCUAUCCCUUCUCCCCAAGGCAUCUGCCCCUAAACAUUAGACCCCACUGACUAACAGCUUAGACUUGGCUUGUCCUUUUAUUAAAAUAAAUAUAUGAAUUUAGUUGCUUUCUUCAUGAUUUGUGGAUUUUUUUCUUAAAAAAUAAAAUUACAUUGGAAAUGUACGUUAUACCUUUCCUAUCAAGUUAGGCACAUUUAUGAGAAGCAUGCCUGUUUGGACACAAAGCCCCAAUUCAGCAACUAACAAAUAAUGAGUAUUAUUAUAUUUCUUUUUCGAGCACAGUCUCCAGUGUUUGGAAUGCCGUCCUUCUGAACUUAAUCCUUUAAUGGGAAAACAAACAUCAAAAGUAGUGUGAGCAAAUUACCCAAUAUACAUGACUUUUUUUCAAUAGUUUCAAUCUCAGUCUGGUUAAUAGCAGAUGAAGUAUUGAUAUUUCAAUUUGACAACUUUUAAGUUUUGUCUUCUCUUUUUCCCCUAGGUCAUUUUCUAAAUAUAAAUUUAGAGAUUUCUCCAUAGAGAAAUAGUUAGGAUAACUGUGGAAUAAUUAAAUUUUCCACAGCAGUAUGUAGUAGUCAAAAGGCGGAGGUUCUAAAUGAGUUUUUUAUAGGAAGGGCAGGUGGAAAUAAAAAUUUUUUAAAAAAGCAAUCCUCCCUACCUACAAAAAACCAGGAAACCAUCGAACAAAGCCCAGGAAUACUUUAAACAUAAGAUCAUCUUUUACUUUACUCUUUUGUUGGUUAUUUACUUUGCCUUCUGGGAGUAUUACACAAUCUAUUAGCUUUUUCUCUUUAGAUGUUUGCAGGAUACAGAAUGUACCACUAACUUUUAAAAAAAUAAUAUUGAUUCUCACAAUAGAACCAGUGUGUACUUGUUAACCACAUAAUUGCAUUGUUAAAUAUAGUUGCUUCACAAAUUAUAAAAUAAAAUGACAAAGCAGUUAAGAAAAUAGGCCCCAUGCAAACAGUCCAUACACCCCACUAACUUUAUUAUUUAGUGAUUAAACAGAAAGCAUUUAAUAGUGUGUGCUGGUUUAUCAUUGUUGAGCCAAUAACAGUAAUCAGGAUCAUUGUGGAGUUAACAGUGACCAGGAACUUUCCUACUCAGUGAGAUGACUGCUAGUGAUCAAUGUCAGAGUGAUAUAGAAGACAAGAGAGGGAAGAUACGCCCUACGUUUCAGUUCCACCUUUGUCAGCAACUGAGGGAUUUUGACAACUUUCAGCUCAUGCUGACAGAUUACCUCUUGCAGAUACAUUGAAUUAAUUUUCAAAGCAACAUUUCUUUUUGCUGCCAGUUAAUCCCUCUGGAUGCAUCAUAUCCAACCUCCAAAGGAUCCGAGGGGCAGGUUCAACCUUCAUGCCAUAGUUGAGGAAACUGACCAAUAAACACAUGUGUCUCAUGCCUCAGUGUCAACUCCUGCAGAAAUCUUCAGGCAAUGACUCAGAUUCUAUAUCUAAGGGUAUAUUUUCUUCUGUUUUCAUGUUUAAUUCAGCCCCAGGAAUCAAAUAAUACAAUAAAGAAUAAAAUGAGUUCAGAGGGCUCAGCAUUGUAUUCCCAGGGCCUUUGGCCACACACAAACCGCAGAGCUCAGUUAUCCUGAGAUGAAAGGAAAGGAAAGAGAAACGUGAAAGGUUUCCCAGCUCAGUCACAGAGACACAUCAUAGCCACAUACUAAGGACACGACAUUAAUUUAGGGGUGGAAAGGACACAAAUGGAAUAGAAGAUGGAGCCAUUUGGAAUGAGCAGGCCAGCAGGGGGGCAUUUGGGGGUGAGUAGGCCGGUGGCAGGGGGCAGUUGGGGAUGAGCA